ensembl:lncRNA
UAACUUUAAAGAGUUAAUAAUAUAAAAUAACAUCUCACGCAAAAUAAUAACAUAUUUCUCGUCAAGCAAACCUACUUUUUUAAAGGGACAGCGUGGUGGUGUCUGAUUGGUCGAAUCCGUGGAAGGGAGGGGCUUCGUUGGCCUUGUCAGCAGUGGUCGAUUUCAAAUUCGGUGCAAACAAGAACACAAAGAGAGCCAUAUUGUAGCAUAUCAUAAAUCUUCUUAACAAAUACAUAAAGAUAUAUGCUGCUGGUCUGCAAUUUUCCUUUCGAGAACUGCAACACGAUUUCCGAAUAUAUUUGAGGUUCAUCAUUCGCGGCAGCAGACAAUCAAGCUGGGAGAAGCCCUUCAUCGCACCACCUGACCUCUAGAAGAACAGCAAGGGACAACGUCCUGGCUGGUGGGAGUCAGCAGAGAUACAGACAUGUUCACUGCAAUCGCCCGCCUGCUUUUUGGUGGAGAGGAGAAGACUGCCGACGAUGCCCAGCCCAGCGGGGGAAGUGGUUGACGAAGGCUGGCUUCUGCUGAACCAUAGAGAAGCUGUCAGCGAGGGGGUGUUCAGGAGAGGAGGACCAGAUUCAAGGUGCUGUGUUGACGCCUGCUCUGAGUGAACACCCUGACCCUAACCCAGGAGAUGGCAGCGGGCUGUCAGAGCCGGAGGUUCUGGUGGACCGCAGCGCUCUGAUCGCGGGGGUCCUCCAGAACGUGGCGUCCCGGGCCGCCGCGCUGGCCAAGGUCACACACGCCUCUCGGGUCCAGAGGGCUCAGGCCGGGGAGAAGCGCCGCCAGCUGACGCGGAGCAGUCUCCAGCGGCAGAACUGCGCCCGCCAGCAGAGCGAGAGCCACAGGUCCCACACACACCGCGGCGCCUACCUGCAGCAGCCGGGCUGCCGCAGCCACACCCACUGAGCAGCUCCAGACAAACCGAUCCAUGUGAACCCUGUCUCCACAGCAAAAUAUUAUCAAAGCAAUUCAGCAACUAAAAUCGUAUGAAGUUUGACGUCUCGUGGGAAGAGAUGCGUUGUUUCGUCAAAGCCUUCUGCAUUUCAAGUGAAGCUGAAUGAGUGACAUACCUACCAUGGGAUUUUCUAGCAUGCAGUUACGGAAUGUGUAAGAACUUUCAAAAAACAAUAAACAUGAACUGACUCGAGAGAAUGUCCUCCAUCAUUUAAUGAUCAUUUCAAAACCUACUUGCCCACAACGAUACUAUGGUAUAGCAGAAGUAGAUGAAAUUCAACUGGCUCAGUAAAUAAUAAAUAAUAUUGAAUGAGUUGAUGAGAGAUAUUUGAGUGGAUUUAAAGGAACUUUCAUUCUGUCAUGUGUUCACUUUUUGUAGAUAAUGCCACAAAUAGUGUGGAUAUUAUUAGUGCUCUGCCAUAAUGCCAUAAUAACAAUCUAUUAUUCGGCAACCCAAUGAAUCAACGCCAGAAUGUAUGCUAUGCUAGUAGCAUUGACUGCAUUCCUUUGCUUAAGAGGGCCAUUAAGAAGUAUAAUUAUGAAGCCCCUCAGGUCUUCUACUAAUUGGAUACUAAAGUGCUUGGUGUUUCUUCGCACCUAGCAAACCAAUUUUUGUCAAUCAUGUGACAUUCAUCACACUGAAUGUCAUGACAAUGUGUUAAGACUAUGUAAUUGAUUUGUUUUGACGAUUAUUUGUUUAAGCUGAUAUUAACAAUUGUGGUUUGUUAUGUGUGCUUGUGUGUGAGUAUUUACAGAUGGAUGGCUGUACAGUAUUUAUGUAUAUACGCAUAUCUGUGUGUGUGUGUGUUUGUGUGUUUGUGUGUGUGUGUGUGUGUGUGUGUACUGGUGUAUGUACUUAUUGGCGUUCUUUUGAGUGUAUUCGUAUGUGUAUCAUGUGUAUCUUUGUGUGUUUCUAUGGAUAUAUAUUUAUGCACAUUUCUGACGUGAUUUGUGGGGGUGUAUUGGUGUAUAUGAACAUGUAUAUUUUUAGGUGCCAUAUACCAUUUCAUUGUAAAUCUUUUAUCUUCUUGUAUCAUACCAUUUAUGGUAUGGUACAAGACUACUACUUUCCUUAUCUUAUCUAUUUCAUUCUAUCUUGUCUUCUGUUGUCUACUGCUGCUACUGGAAAACUUGACUUUCCUUCGGUUUA